CAAUGAAACUGAUAUGUAACCUAAGUCCAGGCCCUUGGCCCUAACAAAGGGGAAGAGGAGUGUCUUAGUCUAUUUUGUGCUGCUAUAACAGAAUACCGCCUUACUGUGUCCUCACAUGGUGGAAGUCAGAAGGGCAAGAGCGGAUGAAUUCUGAAUCCUCACAUGACAGUAGAUCAGAAGAGGGUGAACCCACCCCCAUACAUCCUUUUCAUAAUGGCCUAAUCCAUCCAUGACCUAGCCACCUUCCCAAAGGCCACACCUCCCAACACUGUUGCAUUAGAGAUUAAGUUUCCAACACAUGAAUUUUGAAAGGGAACACAUUAAAACCAUAGCAAGGAGAAAAUAAAAAAAAGGCCAGGUUGGUCUCAGACAGGCAAGCCCCAUCUUUCCUGGUGUCUCAGCACAAACAUGAGCCCUAAACAUAACAUGCCUAUCUAUUCCUCUCCCCUAAGUUACAGACCCACAUUUUCAGUGUUCUAUAGGACAUCCCCGUAAUUGUUCUGCUGACGUUUGGUUGAAAACACAACUUGUCUUUUCACCCCCUCUCUAUUCUAAUAUUUUCAUUU
rnacentral:lncRNA from 1 species